rnacentral:lncRNA from 1 species
AUUAUUUUUGAGUGUUUACAAUCGUAUAAAUAAAGGCUUAAGAAACGAACGUAAAGCAGAGCCCACCGAAUGAAAAAAAAUAGUUAAAAAAACGUUUUUUGGGGAAUACACCGGGUAAGCAGUAAUAUUUUCUUAACUUAUUGGAAGAAAGAAGUUUACAGAACCAAGUACAGUAUGUAAUAACUACUGGAUGCUUCCUCCAAACGCAAAACGCAAAAAUCCUCUUGAGGUCGAAAAUCCAGUUAAUCCAGUACCAUUUCGUCAUCCAUGGGCUCUCCUGCGUUCAGUGGGGCAGGUGUUAGUGUUCACCAGUAUAAUGUUUCAGUGGCACACAGAACACUGCCAGACACCCGCGUGUGGCAACACAUUUUGCAUCCUCAUUUCCUGUUUCCCUGUGGGGCAAUACAUUUCUCGGCAAUAUUAAAGCUGAU